AUCGCUUCUCAGCCUUUUGGCUAAGAUUAAGUGUAGUAUCUGUUCUUAUCAGUUUAACAGAUGAAUGGAUAAAGAAGAUGUGAUACACACACACACACACUGGAAUAUUAUGCAGCCAUCAAAAAAUAUGAAAUCUUGCCAUUU
rnacentral:snRNA from 1 species